GGUUGGAUGGCCGAGUGGUCUAAGGCGCUAGAAUCAGGUGAUUCCUUAUCUAGUCCUCCGGGGCGUGGGUUCGAAUCCCACUCCAAUCA